GACGAACGCUGGCGGCGUGCUUAACACAUGCAAGUCGAGCGGUAAGGCCCUUUCGGGGGUACACGAGCGGCGCACGGGUGAGUAACACGUAGACAACCUGCCUUCCAGUCCGGGACAACCUUUCGAAAGAAGGGCUAAUACCGGAUAACACUUUGGGCCGCAUGGCCCGGGGUUGAAAGAUUCAUCGCUGGAAGAGGGGUCUGCGGGACAUUAGCUCGUUGGCGGGGGUAACGGCCCACCAAGGCGACGAUGUCAGCGGGUCGUGAGAGGAUGAUCCGCCACACUGGAACU
rnacentral:rRNA from 1 species